rnacentral:rRNA from 1 species
UACGUAGGGUGCGAGCGUUGUCCGGAAUUAUUGGGCGUAAAGAGCUCGUAGGCGGUUUGUCGCGUCGGCCGUGAAAACUUGGGGCUUAACCCCAAGCCUGCGGUCGAUACGGGCAGACUUGAGUUCGGCAGGGGAGACUGGAAUUCCUGGUGUAGCGGUGAAAUGCGCAGAUAUCAGGAGGAACACCGGUGGCGAAGGCGGGUCUCUGGGCCGAUACUGACGCUGAGGAGCGAAAGCGUGGGGAGCGAACCGG